rnacentral:rRNA from 1 species
UACACUCCUACGGGAGGCAGCAGUGGGGAAUUUUGGACAAUGGGCGAAAGCCUGAUCCAGCAAUGCCGCGUGAGUGAAGAAGGCCUUCGGGUUGUAAAGCUCUUUUGUCAGGGAAGAAACGGUGAGAGCUAAUAUCUUUUGCUAAUGACGGUACCUGAAGAAUAAGCACCGGCUAACUACGUGCCAGCAGCCGCGGUAAUACGUAGGGUGCAAGCGUUAAUCGGAAUUACUGGGCGUAAAGCGUGCGCAGGCGGUUUUGUAAGUCUGAUGUGAAAUCCCCGGGCUCAACCUGGGAAUUGCAUUGGAGACUGCAAGGCUAGAAUCUGGCAGAGGGGGGUAGAAUUCCACGUGUAGCAGUGAAAUGCGUAGAUAUGUGGAGGAACACCGAUGGCGAAGGCAGCCCCCUGGGUCAAGAUUGACGCUCAUGCACGAAAGCGUGGGGAGCAAACAGGAUUAGAUACCCUUGUAGUCCCAUGAU